GCCUCUUGGAUCUGUUUUUGUCUAACUUGUGGGCAAGACUUAUGGACAAGUUCCAAAUAGAAGUCUUUUUUGCAAGCCAGAACUCACUGGUCAGUACAGCUUUUGACACAUAUUAGAAGGAAUAAG
ensembl:snoRNA